UGGUAUUUCUAUUUCUGCUCUAAUAAAUGCACUCCCUUGUAGGCUGACCUAUAAAAUCCAUCUCCAUUUUCACUACCUCAGGCUCUUCAUCUUGUUCAGAGCAUGCUGGAAAGUGGCAUAAAGAACAUGAAUAUCUAAGACAUCAGAGUAAAUGCAAAAUGUAUCCUGAAUGAGCAACACAUUCUGUUUAUUCUAUGGAUCUAAUAUACUCUCCAUGCCUGGGACAGUGGAUGGGAUCAAAGGUGGGCUGCAUUUGGGGACAGCAAGAACAAACCGAAAAACAUGCACCAGUGGAGCACCUGAGAACCAGUGAAACCUACAAAGAUAAACUAAAACCCAUGUCUGUCUCCUACCACCUCCAAACUCCAAAGAUACAGAUGCUCAGCAAAAGAAGCUACCUGUGCGCCUGCUCUGGGACUUCAGGAAGUGGAAAGAGACAGGGGAGCUGUAGAUGAGUCCCAGCACACAUGAAUGUCAUGGUACCC
rnacentral:lncRNA from 1 species